GGUGCUGCCUGAGCUGCAAAGUGCUUCCAGUGUUCUCUGCUCUUAUACAAAUUCGUAGCACGCACAGGGGUUUAAUUCUGAAGGAGACUGACAUUUGGUUCAGAAGCUGAAUUUUGAUCCUGCUUUAUACUCAGCACCGUCUACACACUUUAUAGGCAGUGAGGGGAUUUCCCCCCUCCCACCCGUUCCCGUCAUUUUCAAUAUGGAUUCGUGGAUUGAUCAUGGAAUGUGAAGACAGCAAAAAUUCCUUGAAGGGAAACACAGGAAAACUCCGCAGAGUUUCGUGAAGGAGGCGGGGAGAAGGCAGGGGUGCAGAUGUCGGCCGUGUCUCAAAUGCCAAGUGGGUCGGAGUUUUCAAAGCCGCACUCCACUGAGUCGUACGCAGGAGAAUCUACCACACUUUCUUAGAAAAAGUUCAUAAGUGUCUGUUUCUAAGUUUCAUUGAUAUCACAAUGAAUCUCCCCAAAUCAGGUUUCGUGGUAGAGCUGCAACCGCUCACUAAUGGGGAAACGGUCCUCAAUUCAAGGUUUGCGUUUCCUUUUCAUGAUUUUCAAAGAAAAAUACAGCAAAAGUAGAUUCCCCAAACCAACCCGACUGUCAAGAAAUCAGUAACUUUACAGAACGCGUUUCUAAUACCAUAUAACAAUUACUGCACGGAGACAGGUCAUCUUAGCCCUUCUAGUCCGUGCUGAACAUUUACUCUCACCUAGUCCCACCGACCUGCACUCAGCCCAUAACCGUCCAUUCCUUUCCUGUCCAUAUACCUAUCCAAUUGUUUUUUUAAAAUGACAAUAUGGAACCUGCCUCUACCACUUCUACUGCAAGCUCCUUCCACACAGCUAACACUCUCUGAGUAAAUAAGUUCCCCCUGUUGUUACCCCUCCCUAACUCUCAACUCGUGUUCUCUUGUUUGAAUCUCCCCUACUCUCAAUGUAAAAAGCCCAUCCACAUCAACUCUAUCUAUACCCCUCAUAAUUUUAAACACCUCUAUCAACUCCCCCCUCAACCUUCUACAUUCCAAAGAAUAAAGACCUAACUUGUUCAAUCUUUCUCUGUAACUUAGGUGCUGAAACCCAGGUAAAUUCUAGUAAAUCUCCUCUCUAUUUUGUUGACAUCUUUCCUAUAAUUCGGUGGCCAGAACUGUACACAAUACUCCAAAUUCGGCCUUACCAAUGCCUUGUACAAUUUUAACAUUACAUCACAACUCCUAUACUCAAUGCUCUGAUUUAUAAAGGCCAGCAUACCAAAAGCUUUCUUCACCACCCUAUCCACAUGAGAUUCCACUUUCAGGGAACGAUGCACCAUUAUUCCUAGAUCACUCUGAUGCAUCAUUCCUCAAUGCCCUACCAUUUACCAUGUCAAAAUGUCAAUUCUAAACUUGUCUAUAUUUGAAUGAAUGUAAUAGUUUUCGUUCUUAAAAUAAAUUUGUCUUAAGAAUGCUUAAGGAUAAAUUUGAUUUUUGUUUUCUUUGUGAUGUGAACAUUUAUAGUCUGCUG